AGAGUUUGAUCCUGGCUCAGGAUGAACGCUGGCGGCGUGCUUAACACAUGCAAGUCGAACGAAGCAUUUUAGCGGAACAUUUUCGGAUGGGAAGUUAAAAUGACUGAGUGGCGGACGGGUGAGUAACGCGUGGAUAACCUACCAUAUACAGGGGGACAACAGUUGGAAACGACUGCUAAUACCGCAUAAGCGCACAGUGCCGCAUGGCACGGUGUGAAAAACUCCGGUGGUAUAUGAUGGAUCCGCGUCUGAUUAGCUAGUUGGUGAGGUAACGGCCCACCAAGGCAACGAUCAGUAGCCGACCUGAGAGGGUGACCGGCCACAUUGGGACUGAGACACGGCCCAAACUCCUACGGGAGGCAGCAGUGGGGAAUAUUGCACAAUGGGCGAAAGCCUGAUGCAGCGACGCCGCGUGAGCGAAGAAGUAUUUCGGUAUGUAAAGCUCUAUCAGCAGGGAAGAAAAUGACGGUACCUGACUAAGAAGCCCCGGCUAACUACGUGCCAGCAGCCGCGGUAAUACGUAGGGGGCAAGCGUUAUCCGGAUUUACUGGGUGUAAAGGGAGCGUAGGCGGCAAGGCAAGUCUGAUGUGAAAACCCGGGGCUCAACCCCGGGACUGCAUUGGAAACUGCUUAGCUAGAGUGUCGGAGAGGUAAGUGGAAUUCCUAGUGUAGCGGCGAAAUGCGUAGAUAUUAGGAGGAACACCAGUGG
rnacentral:rRNA from 1 species